rnacentral:rRNA from 1 species
GACGAACGCUGGCGGCGUGCUUAACACAUGCAAGUCGAACGGAAAGGCCCUUCGGGGUACUCGAGUGGCGAACGGGUGAGUAACACGUGGGUGAUCUGCCCUGCACUUUGGGAUAAGCCUGGGAAACUGGGUCUAAUACCGAAUAGGACCACGCGCUUCAUGGUGUGUGGUGGAAAGCUUUUGCGGUGUGGGAUGGGCCCGCGGCCUAUCAGCUUGUUGGUGGGGUAAUGGCCUACCAAGGCGACGACGGGUAGCCGGCCUGAGAGGGUGACCGGCCACACUGGGACUGGGAUACGGCCCAGACUCCUACGGGAGGCAGCAGUGGGGAAUAUUGCACAAUGGGCGCAAGCCUGAUGCAGCGACGCCGCGUGAGGGAUGACGGCCUUCGGGUUGUAAACCUCUUUCACCAGGGACGAAGCGUAAGUGACGGUACCUGGAGAAGAAGCACCGGCCAACUACGUG